rnacentral:rRNA from 1 species
AGAGUUUGAUCAUGGCUCAGAAUCAACGCUGGCGGCGCGCUUAACACAUGCAAGUCGAGCGAGAAAGGGGAGCAAUCCCUGAGUAAAGCGGCGUACGGGUGAGUAACACGUGGAUAAUCUACCUUUUAGUGGGGAAUAGCUCUGGGAAACUGGAAUUAAUACCGCAUAAUCCUGUGAGGGGAAAGCAGCAAUGCGCUGAAAGAGGAGUCCGCGGCCGAUUAGCUAGUUGGUAGGGUAAUGGCCUACCAAGGCGAUGAUCGGUAGCCGGCCUGAGAGGGCACACGGCCACACUGGCACUGAAACACGGGCCAGACUCCUACGGGAGGCAGCAGUGGGGAAUCUUGCACAAUGGAGGAAACUCUGAUGCAGCGACGCCGCGUGAGCGAUGAAGCCCCUCGGGGUGUAAAGCUCUUUCGGCAGGGACGAUAAUGACGGUACCUGAAGAAGAAGCUGCGGCUAACUACGUGCCAGCAGCCGCGGUAAUACGUAGGCAGCGAGCGUUGUUCGGAAUUACUGGGCGUAAAGAGUGUGUAGGCGGUGCUAUAAGUUCGGUGUGAAAUCUCCCGGCUCAACUGGGAGGGUGCGCCGAAAACUGUAGUGCUCGAACGUGGGAGAGGAAAGCGGAAUUCCUGGUGUAGCGGUGAAAUGCGUAGAUAUCAGGAGGAACACCUGCGGUGUAGACGGCUUUCUGGACCAUUGUUGACGCUGAGACACGAAAGCGUGGGUAGCAAACAGGAUUAGAUACCCUAGUAGUCC